AGUCAUCCCAUCCUCUAUUGGUGGAGCCAAAAGAUUUAGGACCAUCAGAUUCAGAGUCAUCUUCAGAAGAAGAAGAAGACGAAGAAGACGUAUAUGAUAAUGAUGAUGAAGAAGAAGAAUAAGAUUGAGAAGGGACAAGGAGAAGAAGAUAAAGACAAAUGAUUGGAGUUAGGUGAAAGCAAUGGGCAUGACAGUUUUAGUGUGCUCUCUUAUCUUUGCGUUCUAUGCACUUUUGAUAUUUACCCAUUGCAUUUUUGAUAUUUCAAAUUUUAAGUGUACCUCUUCAUUGAAAUUGAUGCAUGGAAAUUUAAAUUAAAGUGUACUUAUUUUCUAGUUUUAAUGUUAAUUGUAUACAACAGUGUUUGUGAAUAUGAAUUUGAAUUCGGCUUAUAUAGUAGUAGGCAAUGCAAACAGAAUUUACAAGCUAAUGUUGUCCAUCAUUGCGGAUCGAUGUUGGAGGUAGUACAACAAGCUUUGAUUUUCUUGACGCUGACAUGAGAGGUAGAGAGAAUACAGAACUUGACGUUGGUGACAUUACGUUGUAAGUAAGGAGCAACACAUGUCUCCUCUUUAGUGGUUUCAUUCAGUGAGUCAUGACAUGCAAAAGAACAAGCUGCCCACUGUUGUUGGCCAUACAAUACUUAGUAUCAACAGUAGAACCUGAGAUUGCGAUAUUUGAGGAAACUAGAAUAGCCUAUAGCAAUUGUUGGUGCAGGAAUUAGCACGAACGACAUACCGACCUAAACCAAAGACAAACCAAGCAUUGUGCGAAUUCUAGAUUCCACAUCAAUGAGGCAAGUAGUGUUGUUUAAAGUUCUUCUCCGGAGGCCGAACAAUCAUAUGCUUUGGCUGAAUGUAAACUCUUAUUGGUGAUGUUGGUGUAUGUCUCUCGCAGCUCAUGACACUCUACUGAGAUAACAUGGCAUAUAGUCCAUGAAAAAAAAAAAAAAAUUUUAAAUUUAACCCAAUUAAUUUGAUUAAUAAUAAUAAUAGGCCCACUAAACUAGAUUAAAUCUCUUAUAGUUGUUGUUGAAAAAGAAAAACUAGAUUAAAUCUCAUUAUUAAUCUAACUAGGUUCGGACCCGCGCUAUAGCACGGGAGAAAUAAUUACACAUAUAUAACUUUUAACGGAUUAAAAUAUGUUACAUUUUAAUUUUGUUAGAAUGCAGUCGAUUACGGUAAAUCAUAUAUUUGUAUAAUUAAUAAGUUCAAAUAAAAUAAUAAAAGAAAAAGCAAGUAAAUAAUCAUAUACUGAGUUUUGAUACAAUUAAAAACACGGUGAAAAUUUAACAGCACGAAAUAGUAUUUGUCGAUAAAUUAUUCAUUUUGACCAUUUUUGUAGUAAAAGUACGAAUAUACGUAAAAUUACAUAAUUACAAUAUAUUUUUUGAAAGUCCAACCCGUAACAGAAUUUAUUUCUUAAAAAACAUAAUUCGUAACUCGCUUUAUCAUUAUAAUUGUGAUUUUAACAAACUACCCGUGAAUUAUCUAAAAUUUACAUUGUUUGAUAUAUAAUAUAUUUUAUCAAUAAAAAUUAUGUCUCCAAAUUACAUUUAUGUCUUCAAAAAUAUUUCAAUACUUUAAAUUCUAAAACUUUUAUAUAUUUGAACCUUUUAUUUAUAAUAUUUUGAAACUAUUUGAAAUUUUAAAUAUGCUCAUGUAACAAUGGUUUUAAUAUUGGUCAUACUUAUAAUGAUUUUAAACCAUUUUACAAAAUAUUUUAUCGAGUGUAGUUGAGUAUUAUAUGUUCGUUUUGAAAAAUUCAAAUUGCAACAUAUGCACAAAAAAAAAUUAUUAAAUAUUUAUAUUAUAUAGUAUAAUAUCAUAAAUUAAAAAUAAUAUCAAAUAAAAGUGAAAGAAGAAUAAUAUUUUUUUAAAUAGAUUGUAUUAAAUUAGUUAGAGAAAUAUUAGUAAAUCCUAUAAUUAAUUAUGGAAAUAAUACAAUUCUAAAAUUAGAUUUGGAAAGUAUCCGGUGUAUGUAUCCAAACCCAUUAAUCUAUCCAACUUUAAAAUAUCCAAUUACAAAUUUCGGGUAAUUUUUUGAAAUUGACCCGACCCGAAAGCAGUUUUUGUACUUCUCUUUUACUAAUAUAGGGAUUACAUUAGUUUUAUUGUUUACUUUACCAUUUUCUUUUUCUUUUUGAGUUUUGUAUUGAAAAGAAAAAAUAAAAAUAUUGAGAAUAUGUGGAUAGGCCAAACUUGGUUGUAUUUGCUAGGUUUCUUUGUCUACGUCGUCCUAACAAAAGUAUUUUUACAGAUCUCUUUCUUCGUUUGAUCGGCGCUGAUGAUUUCAUCAUCUCCCAUAUGGAGACUGACUUCAAAGUCACUCGCGAGGCUUCCUUGUGUGUCGAAGCUAUGGUCAUCAAUGUUCAUGACCAAGUCCACGGCUAAGCCGCGCCUCUUAUUCGCCAUUGAAGAAAACGACUGUGGUGUGUGGAGUUUCUUCUCGUCGCCUCAGCUGGAUAGUCCAUAUGAGAAUACUUCGUCGACGACUCUUGUAGCAGCCGCCAAAUUUCAUGUGAGAUUCUCUCCAGCCCGGCUACUGAUCAGUCAUCAUUAUGACCUAAUGUUUUUUUCAUGUGGCUACGACUCUGGCUUGUUACAUAUGUAUGGUUCUCGAUACCAAGCUAGACCUAUGAUAUGUAACCCCAUCACAGGACGGUAUGCGAUCUUACCCGAACGGUAUACUUACCGAAAGGCGUAUAGCUUUUUCGGGUUUGACCCGAUUGAGAAGCAAUACAAGGUAUUGUCCAUGGCUUAUCCAUUUGGUCCUGGUCGUCAUAAAAUUCUUACAUUUGGAAAUGGAGAUAUGGGAUGGAGAAAGAUUAAGUGUCCCUUAAAACAUGAAGUUUCGAGUGAUGGGGUACGCAUCAAUGGGGUUUUGUACUAUUUAGGUGACUCAAGUAAUUGUACAGAUGGUAAUGCUGAAAUGUAUUAUCAUGUAAUAGUUUGCUUGGAUCUUAGGUCUGAGGAAUUCACAUUUAUUGGCAUAGAUAUGUUUUGUAAGUUGAUAAACUACAAGGGCAAAUUAGCUUUGAUUUAUUGGGAGGAUGAUCCAUUCAUUUAUAAGUUUUCUAGUGGUACGACGGAUUCUAAUGAGUUGCAUCUGUGGGUUCUAGAGGACGUUGAGAAACAGGAAUGGUCGAAACAUACUUACACUAAUUUGAGGUAUGACGAUUCCUUCCGUCGUGAGGUUUCCAUAGCUGGAGUGACUGCUUUGGGUGAAAUAGUUUUUUCGAUGCGCGAGUAUAUACCUGAAGAACCGUUUUACGUUUUCUACUUUAAUCCCGAAAGGAACACUCUCCAACGUGUUGAGAUCCAAGGUUUUGGUGAAGCGACUAAGGAAUAUUGUCGUGUUCGCACCUUUGUAAACCACGUAGAAGAUUUUAAUGAUAACCAGUUAGAGCAGCUCAAGUCAGUCCAUCCUCCAUUGAAGGAUUCAGAAUAUGUAGAACCAUCAGAUUCAGAAUCUGACUGAUCAGAAGGAACAAGGAGAAGAACAUAGAGACAAGAUUGGAGUUAGGUGAAAUAAAUUGGCAUGUCAUCUUUUUUUCGUCAACCUUAUUUAUCCUCUUUUGAUUUUUAACUUUUCAUUUUUACGAUUUUGAUAAAUCAUCUUUGUCAAAGCUCCUACAUGAGCUGGUUUUUUGAAGGUCAUUUGUUUUUUUAUCACACUCAAACGUUCUAAAAGGUUGUUCAUCUGUUCCUGCAUGUUUUUGCUUUGUUUGCAUUGUGCAGAUGAGUACACUUGAACCUAUUUAUAAUCUUGAAAGCUUUGGUUCUGUAUUUUUUCUUUGCUCUCGUUUUUGUUUGAAGUUAUAUAUAUAUAUGUAUUACUAAGCGCCAAAUAUGUGCCAAAGAGAAAUAUAUGCUAUAUUGCUCAGUCAAUUUAGCUUCAACAAUAGAACGUGAUAUGCCUCUUCAAAGAUGUAUUUGAUGUAACCAGUACUAUAUACAGCCUAAAUUAAUGAGGCAAGUAGUGUUUGAGCAAAUAUCACAGCAGCUUCUAAUCUUGUUCUCCAUAAACAAACGAUGCAUAUCAGCAGCUUGUAAUUUGCUAAUUCAUCACAUCGAAAUUAAUGAAGGCUUAUAUCUCCUUACAUAUUGAUCGAAUUAUCAAGCUGGCAACCUUCGAUGAAGCUUUACCUCCUUACAUAUUGAAGUGGAAGCACUGGUGUGAGCUAUGAAAUGCAUGAUGGAUGCAUCAAACCGCGAAGUAGCUUCCUCAUAGAUUGUUCGACCUGGUGAAGAUGGUAAAGUAGCUCCCCCAACCGAAUGCCUUGCAUUUUCCACAUAUUUGGAAAAUGUUUAGGUCUUUGCGCACAAAUUUUUUAGCUCUUUCUCUUUAUCUCUCAUUCCGCGACAAGCUAAUGGUAAAGUAGAUAAUUUGGCACGUAGAGUACGUACUAAAUCGUUUUUAGGUUUUUUUUUGUAAACAACAUUCCUCUGGAUUGGCUCUUUUAAUUUGAGCUUCCCUUUAUAGUUGUUGACAAAAAAAAAAAUGUACUACCAAAAUAUGUUAAGAAAGAUUCAAAAACAAAUUUUUAUUAUUAACAAAAUAUAUUAUUAAAAACGAAUUUGGGGAACUAGUGGAAAGGACAAUCGUUCCGUCUUUUUCCUCCCUUCUCUCUCUUCUUGGUUCAGAUCUAGAUCUAUAUCAUUUCUCGGUGGCUUUUGGUUUUCAAUCCUCUGAUUUUGCUUUGUAACACAAAAACGAACCUGAUCUAUUCUCUGUCAACCUUGGAGGUUCCUUUCCUCUCGAUGUGGUUUCAGAUCCGGCGUGUCGGUCGAAGAUCUCUGCUUGAGCUCCUCCGGUUUAAAGACGCCGGCAAGGAAAGCGGUGAUCUUUGCGGCUCAACCGAUAGAUCGGAUUGUGGUUCCACGGCGGAAGUCGACAGGAGAGAUGGUGGAUUUGGUUGAAUCGCUAUGGAGGUUAACGGAAGGUCCGUUUGGAUCGUGAUGGCCGCCGCUGGUUUCUGGUGAUUGGACAACCGAUGAGCCGUCGGCUUCAAACACCACCGCGUCUUGCUUCCUCCAGGCCGGAUAAAGAAACCAAGUUCGACGAUCGGAAGGCGGUCAAGUCGGGAAGGAGAGGCUAUGUCGGAAGUAGGUCGGCUCGCUUGGUACGGGAGCGGCUUACAACGUGCCGGGUAGUCGGACGGCUGGCCAUUUUGGCAGAUAUGUAGCGGGUUUGGCCGGUCGGGGGAAAAGAAAUGGAUGCGGGAGUCAGGUGCUUCCCCUCCGUUGCCUAUAUACCUCGCCCGGUCGCAAAGUUGGCGAUCUCGCAACCGCCGGAUUUCAUGGCCGGUCGUCUGCGUCCCGGUGUCAAUAUGACACGAGCCUCUUUUCCGACGAUGACUUUUCCCCGACGAUCGUCUUUUGUUUUUGUGUUUAAUUGUAAUUUUCAGAGCCCAUUAAGGGGUAAAUCUUAAUAACAAAGCCCGUUAAAAAAAUAAUAUAAAUAUAUAUAUAUAUAUAUAUAUAUAUUUGUAUAGAAAUUUGGAAAACGGCCAAUUCCCCCAUAAAUUUAGUUGCUUUAUCGUAUUCAUACACAAAACUUUCGAGUGUGCUUAUAACUAGAUGAACUAAUUUAUAUUUUGAAUUUACAACAUAAAUUAUAAAAAUGUGGCCAAAACCUACAAAUCUAACGAUGCCAUUAUUUAAACUGUUAGUGUAGCUAACUGAGAUGCCACAUAUAUGGACAAAACGGCUGUGUUUUGCAAAAAAUAAAAGUCUAAAACACAGAAACAACGUCGUUUCAUUAAUUUUAAAAGUUUUGAAAGAUAGGCUUUUUCAAAACUUUUAAUAUUAAUGAAACGUCGUUUUGUGUUUUAGACUUUUAUUUUUACCCUUUUCGAUAUGCUAUUUCGAUAUUUACCCUUUUCAUUUUAAUAAAGUAAUUGAUAUCAAUGCAUGGAGAUUCAAUCAUUUUCACAUACUUGAAGUUUUGGUUGUUGUAUUGUCUAUGCUCUAGUUCUUGUAAGAAGCUAUGUAUAAGACUUGACGAAACUCUUGAGAGGUUAGUUUAGUUUAAUUUAUAUAGUAGCUUAGUUUUUGAAAGGUUGAAAAAUUUUAUGUAUCAAUAUAAUUAGAGCCGUCUCUCAAUUUGUGAAGGCCACUAUCUCAAAAUAUUAAAAGACUGGUUUUAUACAUGUUUGAGUUUCGAAUUUGGGUCUAUCUCUCUAGAAUUGUACUAUUAUAGAGGACCACAGGCUGAUGCUUCACCAGCUUGGUCCAUGGGCCGACUCUGAAUAUAAUGGGUCUUGUCUUAAGAGGUUAAUUCUUGUCAAAUGUCUUUGAAAGAUGAAAAUUUUAGCGAAAAGUCUUGUCUUUGGGGGUCUCAAGAACAUUGUCUUGUUGGCUUGUUGCUUAUGAGUUCUCUGUCUGAAUGCUAGUAUCUAUGUUUUAUGUUUCAACUUUUUUUUUACUCUAUAUAAGAUCUCGAUCUCCCUGUUCUUUUUUCAACAGAUUUGUUGGAUUUGUUAUUAGUGUGUUUGUGUGUGAUUGAUCAUAUCCAUUUUGUGAUACUUUUCAUGACUUUAUUGUGAGUUCCGUUUUGCGCAGAGGUUUAAAUGAAUUGAUUUGGCCACCUAUGUCAUCAAAGUGCACUUAUAUUUUCGGUCAAAUGUCCUGAGAGAACUCCACAGUUAAGCGUGCUUAUGCUGGAGUAAUACAAAGAUGGGUGACCUUCCAGGACGUGGUUGUUGGAACUAUGCGAGUGAGAUCAAAACACAAAAGAAAAGAUCAUGUGGUGAUUUGUAGGAUCGGUGAACAAGUCUUUAAGCCUCUCAGACGUAGCAAACCAACCCUCGAAUAUGGGUGAGCUCACGAGUCUAGUGAGAGUAUGUGAGGCCCAUUAAAAGAGAUGGACCCAUAGAUUAAGAGUGAACAUAGAGUCUACUGGGAGAGGUGAUGGUCGGGGGGAUUUUGUAAAUAUAAGUGUUUAAAAUCAUAAAACAAUAUCAUAAUUAUUUAAUUCAUUAACAAUUCCGAAAAUUUUUGGGUCCCUUAAGUAAAUAAAAAAAUUUUAUUGACUUAAUUAAUCUAAGAAUCAAAUAAGUACUCUAUAUUUAUGUAACUUUUAAAUGAGUUUCUACAAAUCAAUAACUAAUAACAUAAAAAUUUAACAUAAUUUAAUAAAAUCUUGAUUGAAUAACAACAUAUAUUCUAGCUGUCUUUGAGAGAUGAAAAUUUAGCGAAAAAUGUCUUUGGGGGUCUCAAUAACAUUGUCUUGUUGGCUUGUUGCUUCUGAGUUCUCUAUCCGCAUGCGAGGAUCUAUGCUUUAUUUUUCAACUUUGUUUCUUGUAUAUAAGAUAUUGAUCUCCUCUGUUCUUUUUUCAACAUAUUUGUUGGAUUUGUCAUUGGUGUGUCCGUGUGUGAUUGACCAUAUCUAUUUUUUGUGAUACUUUUCAAGACUUUAUUUUGUAAAGAAAAUUGUUUAAAAUCAUAAAAUAUAGGGGGAAUUUCAAAGACACCCCUUUUCCAAUAUCACUUUGUAAAAAUACGCCACUUUCUAAUUUUAACAAAAAGUCACUAUAAAAUUUAAAAUUUAUCAAAAAAAUAUGUGUAAACUUAUAUUUAUAGACACAAAUUAUCAUUAUAUUUGUGUAAAUUUAUAUAUAUAUAUAUAUUUUUCACAAAUAUCGUAUAAAUACCUUUUAAAGACCUUAUAAAAACUUUGUAAACCUUUUAAAAACCUUAUAAAAACCUUAUAAAUACCGUUUAUAACUUUUUAAAACCUUAUAAAUAUUUAGAUUUGUCUCCCAGUAGUAAUGAUGAUCUUGAUGUACCUUAUCAACCAUAUAAAAGUUUAUAAUUUUUCAUAUUUGAAAAGGGGUAGUUUUGAAAAUUGAUAGAAAAUAGGGGUAUUUUUAAAAAGGGGUAGAAUAUUUCUCAAAAAUUCUCUAAAAUAUAGCAUAAUAAUUUAAUUCAUUAACAACUUUAUAAAAUAUAAUCCUCAAUCUAUUAACUCCAUAUUUAUGUUAAUUUUAAAUAACUUUAUACAAAUCAAUAACUAAUAACAUCAAAAUUUAACAGAGUUGAAUAAAAUCUUGAUUGUGUUGUUAUUCACAAACCUUGUGAAAAAAAAAAACAAUAUAUUUUACGUAACAUUAAAGACAUUAAAACAUUUUUUUUGUUCAGGUCGUUAGCUUGGCCCAAUAUUUUUUUUAACCGACUAAAAUCGGAACAUGUAAGGGAAACCUAGCUACAAGCAUACAACAUAUAUUCUCUUUAGUAUGUAUAUAUAUAUUGCUAGGUUUCUCUAGAAUUUAACAUAUCUCUUUCUUCGUUUGAUCGCAAAGCAUAAUGAGUUCAUCAUCUCUCAUAUCGAUUAAUGAUGAUCUCAUCCUCGAGAUAUUGUCGAGACUGCCUUCAAAGUCAGUGGCUAGGUUUCGUUGCGUGUCGAAGCUAUGGGCAUCGAUGUUGUGUAGUCUAUAUUUCAAGGAGUUGUUCUUGACCAGGUCCUCGGCUAAGCCACGUCUCUUAUUCGCCAUCGUAGAAAACUUUGGUAAAGGAGGCUCAAAAGGUGUGUGGCGCUUCUUCUCGUUGCCUCAGCUUCUGAAUCCAUACUCAAAGUCUUCGAGUCUUGUUGCAGCCGCCGAGUUUCAUUUGAAGUUCCCUAUGCUGAUUUAUCAUAAUACGAACCGACUGUAUUUUCAACAUGGCUACAACUCUGGUUUGGUCUAUUUUUAUGGUGCUCAUUACGACAAUAGAUGUGUGAUAUGUAACCCUAACACAGGAGGAUAUACACUCUUACCUUAUCUGAAACGUUACCGAAAGACGUAUAGUUUUUUCUUGUUUGAUCCGAUUGACAAGCAAUUCAAGGUAUUGUUCAUGGCUUAUUGUGAUCUUAAUCAUAAGAUUCUUACGGUAGGAACUGAAGAUAUGAAGUGGAGAACAAUAAAAUGUUCCUUGCAACAUAAAAUCGCGAGUGAAGGGAUAUGCAUUAACGGGGUUUUGUAUUACUUAGGUGACACGUCUUCUUGGGAUAAUGAUGAUUACAGUAUAGUUUGCUUUGAUGUUAGGUCUGAAAAAUUCACAUUUUUCAAGGUGGAAAGGUUUUGUAGAUUGGUAAACUAUAAGGGCAAAUUAGCUGUGGUUUAUUUCGAGGAUGAUGUCGACACUCUUUCUUGUCGUUAUAGGGAGAGAGAUCAUGUCGAAGCUGAUGAGAUUAAUAGGUUGCAUGUGUGGGUUCUAGAGGAUAUGGAGAAACAAGAAUGGUUGAAAUAUGCCUACACUUGGACUGAUGAUAUAUUCUUCCGUCGUCGUCAAGUUUCUAUCGCGGGAGCUACUGCUUCGGGUGAAAUAGUGUUUUCGAUGUGCGAAUAUACACCUAAACAACCGUUUUAUGUUUUCUACUUCAAUCCCGAAAGGGAGACUCUCCAACGUGUUGAGGUCCAAGGUUUUGGUGAAGACUUUUGUAAUGUAUACACCUAUGUAGACCACGUUGAAGAUGUUAAUGUUAAUGAUUUAGAGCUGCUCAAGUUCGUCCAUCCUCCAUUGGAGGAGCCAAAAGAAGAAGAAGAAGAAGAAGAAGAGUAUGAUGAGUAUGGAGAAGAAGAGUAUGAUGAGUAUGAAGAAGAAGAAGAGUAUGGAGAGUAUGAAGAGUAUGAAGAAGAAGAAGGAUAUGAAGAAGAAAUAGAAGACAAUCAGAUUGAGAAAGGACAAGGAGAAGAAGAUAAAGACGAAUGAUUGGAGUUAGAGCUUCAAAUCUAAGUGUUGAGUAAUUGAAAUGGAUGCUUGGAGAUUCAAUUAGUUCACAUACUUGAAGCUUUGUAUAGUCUUUGCUCUUGUUCUUGUUUGAAGCUAUGUAUUAGCCAGCCUUAAAGAACCUCUUGUUCUUUAGUUCUUCAUAGCAAUUUGCAACACAUAAAUUUACUGCUUAUAUUUUUCUCUUUAACGAUCAAG
rnacentral:lncRNA from 1 species